AUGUGCGUGAAAUCCUCGUUCAACGAAACAUAUAUUAUACAUUUAUAUGUAACUACAAACAACGUUUAGCCUUCGUCUACCAUAUGUGAAAGCGUUUUGUUUACAUUAGUAAUGUUACUAAUAUGCUUAUAUCUGAUCUAUUUCCUGACAUUAUUAUCACAUUAUUGGUCUUCAUCUUUAGAAAACUACUCGAAUGCUAGGUGUUUUCGGUGUUUUAGCAUGGUGACGAUGCUGUUGUGAAUCGUUUUUGUUUUUUUCAAGAUUUAGCUACAAAUCAUACCGGUUUAAUCCAAAGUUCGGCAGCUCGGCAGGCAACUAUCUAGAAACAGAAGAUGGAACAAAAAGAUCCUCCAAAAAUGUUCGACAUCGAGGGGAUAAUUUACCAAAAAACGGAUCCGUAUAACUGGACGAAUUUGAUGGACAGAGAGAUGAGAAUCGCAUAAAUUAACGCAAACACCACCUCUUUUUACUUCCCAUAUGAGCAUCAAUGAGCAUGGAUAAAUAAAUUCCUACUGCUGCAAAAGAGUACCGCCAAAGAGGACGUGAAACGGUCUGCAAGUUCCAGCGAAAACAAACCAGCAUACUACUCGGAAUCCGAAUCUGCAGUAAUCGAGAAGGAAGGCGUGACAAUCUGUUGCUGAGGCGAAGUUUAAUGAAGACAACGAAGUGCAAAUAGGCGCACAAACGAACCGUCACCCGCGAGCACAACAAAAUUCUUCGGUGUAGGAAAACGAUCUACGAGGUAAUACCUACUACGAGGAUGUCAUCUCUUGCCGUCAUAACGACUACCCUCAAGGAAUCGUGAGCAGGAGACCUGAAGUGAAACUCCCGUCUAAAAAACAAUAUAGCUCCGCUUUUCCCCGCUGGCAUGUUGUGCAAGGUCUAACAGGGAACCGGAAACCAAACUCAUCGAACGGAUCCCUAUAUAGUGGUUUGAUGUGUCGAACAACGGUCCACUACUUGAACGUGCAAGACGUCUACCGUUAUCUGCAGGAUGGAACAUCAACACGAUCGAUACCAUCAACGUGUUUAUUGUCGAAUGGUUACAGAACCCGUGACCACCAAGACAGCGGUAGCACUGGAAGCAAUCAUCACAAUGAACCAGGACGAGAAAGUGUCGCAUUAAAGCCGAUUUUGGAGGACGUACAUUCCAUCGAAGGCAGCAGCCGUAUUCCGGUUACAUACAAGGCAGCUGGCCAUUCAGACGAUCAGAACAAGACGGGGUAAAUAUACACCACUGACUCAGAACGAGCCAGUAACGCCGAUGGAUGAAACCCAUAACAAUGUUUGUCAAUUUUUAUCAAUAUUUAUGAAUGUACUAUAAAUAAAAUGACACAAUAAUAUUGUUGU